rnacentral:rRNA from 1 species
UACGUAGGGGGCUAGCGUUGUCCGGAAUCAUUGGGCGUAAAGCGCGUGUAGGCGGUUCGGUAAGUCCGCUGUGAAAGUCGGGGGCUCAACCCUCGAAUGCCGGUGGAUACUGUCGGACUAGAGUACGGAAGAGGCGAGUGGAAUUCCUGGUGUAGCGGUGAAAUGCGCAGAUAUCAGGAGGAACACCAAUUGCGAAGGCAGCUCGCUGGGACGGUACUGACGCUGAGGCGCGAAAGCGUGGGGAGCGAACGGG